rnacentral:lncRNA from 1 species
AAAAUGAGGGCAGAGAAGGAAUGUUUACUGAGUACCUACUGCCAGCCAGACCAUACCAGUACUUUUACAUUGAUUUAAAAUUUAAUCCUCACAAAAGCAGCCUGCUCUUCUGCUUCAGAUCCGAGAGGGGCUACCUACCAUAUCUCGGCUAAAAGCAAAAUGGAUUACAAUCUUUUUAUCCUAACUAUCCUCCAGAAGCUUGCCUGAAUCUCUUUGUCUCUAUUCAAAAAGGAAAGUAUAUCUUCAACACGUGAUCUGAGAACACCAGCACCCGAAACACAUUUUUCUUAUUUAAAGUUCUCUUUUCUGGUCUCCACGUUAAUAUUACUGGAUCAGAAUUUCUGGAAUGAGGCCCAGACUAUACAUUUUUACCCAAAUUGUCCAGGUGCUUCUUAUGCAUACCAAAGUUUGAGAAACACUGCUUUUGAUAAUCUCCAUCAAUAGUUGCCUCUUUCCCUAACAGAUCCAGAAACUUCCCCUUAACUGGCUCUGAAAUUUGGCUCCUAUUCCUCAAUAUCAUCUACAAAUUUCACUUAGAGGUUACUUAUAACCCCCUAAAUGGCCUUUUCCCAGUACCUAUCCUUCCUGACGUCUUUGUAGCAUAAAAGAAUAGUCAUGUCAUAAAGCAUUGAACUUGUGAACCUUCAGUUAUGCUCACUUGGCCAAAGACAAAGGAAAGAAAAUGACAACAUAAGCAGAUGAUUUAUGUACCAUUCCAGUCAAUGACCUCUGCUUCAAACAGGCAUCAGAUGGGAUACUUGAACCCACCACCAUCCAGUAGGUCUCUCAUACUGUGAGCUACUAGCUCACUGAGUGUGAGUCCAGUGUUGAAAACUCUGUGUUUUACAUUCAACAUGAUCCCUACAUAAAAUUCAAUUAUGUCUUAUGGAUUGGGGAAGGAAGGAAGGAAGGAGAGAAGGAAAGAAGGAAGGAAAGAAGUAUGCAAUCCAAUUUGGGGAAGAAAAUAAAACUUGUGUUGAAUUUUUA